UACGUAGGGUGCGAGCGUUAAUCGGAAUUACUGGGCGUAAAGCGUGCGCAGGCGGUUUUGUAAGCCAGGUGUGAAAUCCCCGGGCUCAACCUGGGAAUGGCAUUUGGGACUGCAAGGCUGGAGUGCGGCAGAGGAGACUGGAAUUCCUGGUGUAGCAGUGAAAUGCGUAGAUAUCAGGAGGAAUACCGAUGGCGAAGGCAGGUCUCUGGGCUGACACUGACGCUAAUGCACGAAAGCGUGGGGAGCAAACAGG
rnacentral:rRNA from 1 species